rnacentral:rRNA from 1 species
CCUACGGGUGGCAGCAGUGGGGAAUAUUGCACAAUGGGGGAAACCCUGAUGCAGCGACGCCGCGUGAGUGAAGAAGUAUUUCGGUAUGUAAAGCUCUAUCAGCAGGGAAGAAAUAGCGACCUUUGGGUCGCCAGACGGUACCUUAUUAAGAAGCCCCGGCUAACUACGUGCCAGCAGCCGCGGUAAUACGUAGGGGGCAAGCGUUAUCCGGAUUUAUUGGGUUUAAAGGGUGCGUAGGUGGAUUUUGAAGUCAGCGGUAAAAUGUCCGGGCUCAACCAGGGCCGGCCGUUGAAACUGGGGAUCUUGAGUGGGCGAGAAGUAUGCGGAACGCGUGGUGUAGCGGUGAAACGCAUAGAUAUCACGAAGAACUCCGAUUGCGAAGGCAGCAUACCGGCGCCCGACUGACGCUGAGACACGAAAGCGUGGGGAUCGAACAGGAUUAGAUACCCGAGUAGUC